AGGGCUUUCACUUGAAAUUGGAUAACUUGAUUUAUGACCUAAUAUUGAUACUCUUAUUUUCUGAAAGAGUUACAUUACACGGAUUCAUCUCUAGAGUGAUAAUUACAAAUUACGCUGUGAAAGUGUACAGUGAACUGUGACAGUUUAGUUUAGGUGAUAGUGUACAUUUGUACACUUUGUACAGAGCUAGAAUGUACAAGUGUACUCUACUUAUGUGUUUAGUUCACGCUGUGAGGUGCAUACCAAACUCCAGAACUGCAGAGGAAAUUACCAGGAGCCAUCCUUCUGAACCUUACAGCCAGAGCACAUCUGAUCCUAGAAGGGGAAUGGAAGCAUACCCUUCUGAACAGACAACGAAAAAAGAUAUUGAAUGCAUUUAUGUGAACUCUGCUUGGAGUACAUGUGAUCUAAGUACACUGAAAAAAACCAAGUCAAUGAAAAGAUCAAGACCUGAGAUGGGGUCUGGUACCAAGUGCACAGACUGGAAAAAUCUAACCCAAUCAUGUUCCAAUGAAGAGAUCAUUUCAGAAUCUAGAAGUUUGGUGGAAAAAGAAAGAAAGACGACACAUAAAUUAGAAACCUACAGGCAGUUCAUUAACAAAACCCUUGGCACUCUGGACAAUUUGGAGAAAAGGGUUUCAACCAUUCAAACUGUUCAUCAACAGUCCAGACAAAUGCGUGACUCUUACCUAGAGUCCAGUGAGCUUGAAAAUACCAGAAAGAAGUUGAAGCAAGUAGAAGAGGAAAAUCUAGCUCUAAAAAAUAAAAAUACCCAAUUGAAAACGGAUUACAAUAAUUUAAAGACUUCAUAUUCUGGAUGUAUAAGCCCUGAAAAAAAUAAUGAUCAGAUGGAAAAGUUAAAAAACUUAAAAGAAGAUAAUUCUGAGUUAAAGAAGAUAAUUGACUAUGGAUAUGGAGCUAAAAAUACCCACGGUCUUCCAGGAGAGGUUAAUCCCUGUGAACAGUCCUUUAAGCUGACGAUGAAUAAUCUUGAAAGCAUGAGGGUAAAGAUGAAAGAUUUGAUAGCUCGGCUUGAAAUCCAGACAGCGGAGUCAUACAAAGAUAACGUGAGCUGUCAAGGUGACAUCAAGAAACUAACAGCAUUGGUGCAAGAUUAUAAAACUUCAGAAUCAGGGUUAAAACAAACACUCAGCAAGAUUUCUGUUUCAAGUAUACAGGAGUUCGAGCCCAAAGAUCUGGAACUUACUGCGCCAGCCUCAGACGACGGAACAGUGACCAUGUUAAAGCAGAUGCGGGAUCAAAUGGAACGAAUCAAUUUUAAAGAAAUUCAACUGUUUGACAGCAUUAUUGCCAAAAUGUCGGAGAAGAAGAAUGCCGCGUCGAAUAAACUAGUUGCGCGGCUGAAGGAUCAGGAGGAGUUAAUACAAUCCCUGGUAUCAGAGGCGGGGAGGAGUAAGGAUACGAUUGAUGGUUUGACCGCUCUAGUCUCCAGACUUAGACAAGACAAGGAAAGAGCCGAUACUGGUCUCAAUACAGUGUCCCGGAAGCUGAAAGAUUUUAAAGACAGUAUGUUGAUGGUACUGCACAAGUAUAACACUGUAAAAAGAUCAGCUGUGGAUCAGAAUAAGUUUAACCUUUGUUUAAACAAUCUGGAUGUUUAUCGGUCAAAGUUUGAGACGUCAAUGAUGUUAGUAAACACAAUCCGGACUGUAGCUCAGCGAUUCAGAGAGGAUUUCAUCGUUAAACUAAUUUCAAAGAUGAAAAUGCUUCAACAGAAGAACAAGGAACAGUCCCUUACUAUCAUGAGACAACAGCAAUCCAUCAGAAUGAACGAGGAUGAGUUGGAAAAAAUAGGAGAUUACUUAACUCAUUUUGUGAAAGAGAUGAAAACUUUUGGAUCAAAAUAUACUGGAUUACAAAGGAAGUUAAAUGACACUAUUAAGACGAAAAAUGUGGAUUUUGUAAAGAUAAAAUACGGUUUAGAGGAUGUGAAAGAAGAUUCUCACAAAAUUUACAAUAUGUACAAAAAUGAAAACUUGUACAAGGAAGAUUACCUGGCCUGUACAUACCGUGUACAUGAGAUGGAGAAGCUGGCGGAUAACAGUUUAAGUGUACUGCAGCAGUACAAGGGAGCUGUACAAGCGUUUAGAAGAGAUUAUCUUACCAGGCUUAUACAGAAGUUACAAUCUUAUCAGUCGAAUUUGGAACUAGAGAGAUUAAUGCGGAAAGAAAAGGAGAAAGAAGUAAUGCAGUUAUACAAAUCUCUAGAACAUGUUGAAAAUACGAUUAGGCACUUCAAACUGGAGUUUCAGGAGUUUAACGCCAAAUAUUUCCAACUAGAAGAUACAUAUACAAGUGUUAAGAAUAAUAUGACAGAGUUAAAAAAGCAUGAUGAACAAAGAUUAAAUAACAUUGGAGGGGAUCUCGGAAUGCUUAUGAAUAAUAUGCAGAGAAUUAUAGAAACAUAUAAGACAAAACUGAAGGAAGAUAGAGCAAGCUUUGUAAGUAUCAAGGACCAGCUGGAGAAAUUUAAAAACAAAAUGAAGUUUGAUAUGGAUUGUGAAGAGAAACUACAGCUGUGUCUAGAUGAGAAGGAAGAAUAUAGGACUCAUCUUAGAACAGAGCAAAUGCAGUUAUACAAGUGUAAUGUUAGAUUUUACCGUGGUCAGAAAGUGUUGAAGGAUGUGAAUGAGUUCUAUAUUUAUUUAAUGGAUCGUCUUGUAAGAUUACAUGAUGGAAUUCAUAAUCUUAAACUCAUCGGUAUAAAUCUCAGAGAUAAUCUAGUCACAGUGCACGCUGCUAUGGGACAUUGCACAGGCAAUCUCCAGGCUCUUCGUCACGAGUGUCAAGGGCUUGUAAGCUGGUAUCAGACUCUUCCAAAUAUGGAAAUCUUAAAGAGAAAACUCUCCACGUGUCAGCAGCAAGCUCAAUAUAAUGAGAAUUCUCCAACUUAUCUGUUUGAUCAGAUAAGAGAACAGAAAGACAAGUUUGCUAGGAUUGCACAGAAGGAAGAAAACUGUGAGAGAAGGUUAAAGGAGAGUAUGACUGAAAUGAUAGCAUUGACCAGACACUAUCAUACUCAAUCUGGAAAAGAUGACUCUGAUAGAUCUGAUUACACGGCAAAAAAUCAAGAAAAUGUUUUAAGAAUAAAUAAGGUUCUGUAUGAUCAGAUUUUGAACAGCACUGGAGUUUCAAGAGAAAAAGAUGAAAUUCUGAGAUCCUGGAAUAGUUCAAAUCUAUCAUCUACUGAAAAGGCCUUGAAGUACUUGUUUGGACAUUGGACUGGAUCUCAGAUAAGCCAUCAAUCAUACCAAACAGAGAUCUCUGGACGCCGAAUCAUAGAAACGGAUUCAAGCAAUUUGACAGGAGUUUAUCUGAAUAUUGUUGAAGAGAUUAAGACAGCGAUGCAUCAGUUAAACGAUAAAAAAGACAAUUUAAUCACAAAAUUGAAGAAAUGUCAAGGAAAAUAUCCAGAUGUUUUAAAAAACGCAGACCUCAAGGAUUAUUUCCCAAAAGCUGAUCGGGUCACACAGGAGGAAGACCUAGUAGCAAGUCCAGUUCUUCUUGAAGUUGAUAAAACCAAAGUACAAAAUCCUGAACUAGAAACAAAUGUGCGUCCACAUCUGCGAAAACAAGUUCCUGCAAUUAAACCUGGAAUUCCAAUUCUCCUGAGAAAUGAGAACUCUCAAUAUGAUUCCAAAAAUAGGUCAGAAGUCUCCCAAAACCUCUCUUCUGAGAAAACCUCGGGUUCCCUUUUGGAAAACAUCUCUAACACUCUCAACCCUACAAGCAUGUCUCAAGAAACCUUUCCUACAGUUACUGAAGCUUCGGUUGAUGAUCUGUUCUCUACUACAGUAAUACCGGGUGCAAUAGACCUAGAACGGCUCCAAGGGCUUUUAAACUCAACUGUUCAGAAACCUCCAACGCUCAAGCCAUUGGAAGAUUCGGAAAAACUUCCCGAGACCCAAGGAACAUUGAUAAAAUACGAAGCAAGAUGCUGAAUAUUAAAGAGCAGCUAGUUAAACAAAAGCAGGAUUUACAGCAGAAGAAACAGGAAACAGUUAUUCCUUCAGAAUUGUCUGAUGAGAACCAAGAUGGGGAAAAAGAUGAAAAAAUAAAUAUUGAUAAAAUCAAGAAAAUUCUGGAAGCUACAGA
rnacentral:misc_RNA from 1 species